AUAACAGCUCCAGUUGCUCCUGCGUGUCUUGGAGCUUACAGCAGACCUGUUUACUGUUAGUCUUAACGUGGAGGAGGUGCUGGGUAUGUCUGGUUGUCCAUCUGUGCCUGCCACCAGGGCUCUGCAGGAAGCAUUGCUGAUCACAGAAUCACGGAAUCAUAGGGGUUGGAAGGGACCUCUAGAAAUCAUCAAGUCCAACCCCCUGCUAAAACAGGCUCGCUACAGUAGGUUGCACAGGACCCUGUUGGAUAUCUAAGGAGAGUAAAUGGACACAGCUUGCAAGCUGCUGGGAGUCUGGAGUUUGUCUGCCUUGAGUGCUUGUGAAUACAGCGGAGUUUUGUUUGAAAGGAACCUCACUUGCAAACAAAUUUCCAGUGUUAUAUCUGAAAUGAAAUGCUCAGGAAGACGAAUGAACAGCCCCUGCAAUAAGUAGAUACAGAGACUUCUCCAAGAGAUUCUCCUUGCCUCAACCUCCAGUUAUUAGUGGCCACCCUGUCUUUGUGAAGUGCUGCUUUGCCUUUUGUGUGGUCAGUUCCAGCAUAUCCUUACUGCCCAAGUGUUUGGACCGGUGCUGUGCUGCUCAUCCACCUUCUGGCUGGCCCUCAUGGAGUGCCCUUACUCUCUAGAUGCCAUCGAUACAUUUCACCUUCAUCAAUAAAGAUUCCUACCUUGCUGCUUUUUCAGGCAGAAAAGCACAUUCAGUAUUUCCCAGUAUUUAUGAGGGCUUUCCUACAG
ensembl:lncRNA